rnacentral:rRNA from 1 species
GACGAACGCUGGCGGCGUGCCUAAUACAUGCAAGUAGAACGCUGAAGGAGGAGCUUGCUUCUCUGGAUGAGUUGCGAACGGGUGAGUAACGCGUAGGUAACCUGCCUGGUAGCGGGGGAUAACUAUUGGAAACGAUAGCUAAUACCGCAUAACAGUAGAUAUCGCAUGAUAUCUACUUGAAAGGUGCAAUUGCAUCACUACCAGAUGGACCUGCGUUGUAUUAGCUAGUUGGUGAGGUAACGGCUCACCAAGGCGACGAUACAUAGCCGACCUGAGAGGGUGAUCGGCCACACUGGGACUGAGACACGGCCCAGACUCCUACGGGAGGCAGCAGUAGGGAAUCUUCGGCAAUGGACGGAAGUCUGACCGAGCAACGCCGCGUGAGUGAAGAAGGUGUUCGGAUCGUAAAGCUCUGUUGUAAGAGAAGAACGAGUGUGAGAGUGGAAAGUUCACACUGUGACGGUAUCUUACCAGAAAGGGACGGCUAACUACGU